AUUUUCAAGAGCAUCAUUGACUGCAUAUCACUUUAAAGAGUCCAGUGGGAACAUCAUGGCUCCAUUUGCAGGGAUGUCUCUGAAGUCCAGAAGAGGCUCUUGCCUGUAGAGUCCUGGCUCAGUUCAUUUUCACUCACAGGUGGAUGAAGCAAAGCACAAGGAGGAACAGUGACCUGGAGGUGAGAUCCCAGAGGUGGCCUCUGGUUCUGGAUGACGGAAGGAACAGUUUCUGGACGCCUCAUUCACCAGCGGUGUGGUCUUCGACACUCUCUGCACUCUUUGGACUAUGUCUGCUUCAUCAGUGCCUUCAUCCCAACCAGCCCAAUGCCCGACACACGCAGGAACCAUGGUGUCAGAUGACCCAGUCUAGAAGUGCUUCUACUCCAGCCUGGACCAGAACCCUCAGAUUCUUCUGUUGGAACUGGGACACCAGCACAGUCUCAUUGGUGAGUUUACUUUUAAGGUCUUUGGGGGUCUUUUCUGGCCAGCAGAACUUGGAUCAGACAACCCUAGUCUACUUUAAUAGUCUUUCUUAACUUUGAAUUUUAGGGAGCCAAUGUUGGGGUCUUUGUUCCUUCUCUCCCAAAAGUCGCGAGAAAAAUCAACUGAACUUGGUAUACCCUUUCCUGGCACCAGUUCUACACUUUAAAAGCCGGACUUUGUUAGAACAUUAAAAAAUCUGUUAUACACACUUCUAGAGCAAUGAGUACCUAUUAGAUAAGGGAGACCCCUUAAAAUUCUUCCUUCACUAAGAAAAACCCUUUCCAAGGUGACUUGCUCUAUCCAACUAGGAAAAGAAGUAGAGCAUUACACAGUGUAAGGUUUUGCAUCUGAUAAAUCAUUCCUUUUCAUUUUUUCAAACACCACCUAUUGCAUUGGUUUAGUGCUUCCCCCCCCCCCCCCCCCCCCCCCCCCCCCCCNNNNNNNNNNNNNNNNNNNNUUUGCUGAGGAAGGCUGGCCCUGAGCUAACAUCCAUGCCUAUCUUCCUCUGCUUUAUAUGUGGGACGCCUGCCACAGCAUGGCUUGCCAAGGGGUGCCAUGUCCGCACCCGGGAUCCGAACAGGCCAACCCUGGGCCACUGAAGCAGAGCGUGCGCGCUUCACCGCUGCGCCGCCGGCCGGCCCCGGGGUGCUCUUCACAGUCUUCAAACAUGUUUGCUUGAACUUCAGACUUGUGUUUGUGCAUUGAAUGUGAUAGUCUGGACUUGAAAUUUUACUCAUUCACAUUCAUUAAACUCUCAUAUUCCCUUUUCAAAGAAAUGGAUUGUCUUGCCUUUUCGGGGUGUGGUGACGUGUAGAUUCGACAUUCUGUAAAUUCCAUCAAAUUUUCUUUUCUCUUUGACCAGUGAAGAACAAGAAAUUUAAAAGUUUAAAGAAAAUUGGCAAAGAUAAAGUGUAGAGCAGUUUGAAAGAGAUUCACUUACUCUAAGUGCCCCUGCAGAGGACGUUAGCUGAGUUACUGCCAGCUGUGGUGAGCACAUCGGCCUGCCAAUUGGAACGCUGAGGCAUUGCUUGCAGAAAUUAGAGGUCAUCAAUAUGGGGUUUGAUCUUCAGUGUAAAAGUAGGGAGCAUCACAAGUUCAGCAGGUUUAAAUUCAGGCUCACCUACAUUAGAAUUAUGUGAUGGAUAUUUGCAAUUUGAGAAAGUUUACUGUACUAAUUUUGUGGAGUGUUUUCCUUUUAGUUCUCUGCAAGGUGCAUCUACUUUUAUUAUAAUAAAUCUCAGCCAGUCUAUGAAAGCA
rnacentral:lncRNA from 1 species